AUCAAAGAUUUAUUGCUUUGAGAUGGACCCGCGGCGCAUUAGCUAGUUGGUAAGGUAACGGCUUACCAAGGCAACGAUGCGUAGCCGACCUGAGAGGGUGAUCGGCCACAUUGGAACUGAGACACGGUCCAGACUCCUACGGGAGGCAGCAGUGGGGAAUAUUGCGCAAUGGGGGAAACCCUGACGCAGCAACGCCGCGUGGGUGAUGAAGGUCUUCGGAUUGUAAAGCCCUGUUUUCUAGGACGAUAAUGACGGUACUAGAGGAGGAAGCCACGGCUAACUACGUGCCAGCAGCCGCGGUAAUACGUAGGUGGCGAGCGUUGUCCGGAUUUACUGGGCGUAAAGGGUGCGUAGGCGGAUGUUUAAGUGGGAUGUGAAAUCCCCGGGCUUAACCUGGGGGCUGCAUUCCAAACUGGAUAUCUAGAGUGCAGGAGAGGAAAGCGGAAUUCCUAGUGUAGCGGUGAAAUGCGUAGAGAUUAGGAAGAACACCAGUGGCGAAGGCGGCUUUCUGGACUGUAACUGACGCUGAGGCACGAAAGCGUGGGUAGCAAACAGGAUUAGAUACCCUGGUAGUCCACGCCGUAAACGAUGGAUACUAGGUGUAGGGGGUAUCAACUCCCCCUGUGCCGCAGUUAACACAAUAAGUAUCCCGCCUGGGGAGUACGGUCGCAAGAUUAAAACUCAAAGGAAUUGACGGGGGCCCGCACAAGCAGCGGAGCAUGUGGUUUAAUUCGAAGCAACGCGAAGAACCUUACCUGGACUUGACAUCCCUUGCAUAGCCUAGAGAUAGGUGAAGCCCUUCGGGGCAAGGAGACAGGUGGUGCAUGGUUGUCGUCAGCUCGUGUCGUGAGAUGUUAGGUUAAGUCCUGCAACGAGCGCAACCCUUGUUAUUAGUUGCUACCAUUAAGUUGAGCACUCUAAUGAGACUGCCUGGGUAACCAGGAGGAAGGUGGGGAUGACGUCAAAUCAUCAUGCCCCUUAUGUCCAGGGCUACACACGUGCUACAAUGGUAGGUACAAUAAGACGCAAGACCGUGAGGUGGAGCAAAACUUAUAAAACCUAUCUCAGUUCGGAUUGUAGGCUGCAACUCGCCUACAUGAAGCUGGAGUUGCUAGUAAUCGCGAAUCAGAAUGUCGCGGUGAAUACGUUCCCGGGCCUUGUACACACCGCCCGUCACACCAUGAGAGCUGGUAACACCCGAAGUCCGUGAGGUAACCGUAAGGAGCCAGCGGCCGAAGGUGGGAUUAGUGAUUGGGGUGAAGUCGUAACAAGGUAGCCGUAGGAGAACCUGCGGCUGGAUCACCUCCUUUCUA
rnacentral:rRNA from 1 species